rnacentral:rRNA from 1 species
ACGGGUGAGUAAUACAUCGGAACGUGCCCGAUCGUGGGGGAUAACGGAGCGAAAGCUUUGCUAAUACCGCAUACGAUCUACGGAUGAAAGCAGGGGACCGCAAGGCCUUGCGCGGACGGAGCGGCCGAUGGCAGAUUAGGUAGUUGGUGGGAUAAAAGCUUACCAAGCCGACGAUCUGUAGCUGGUCUGAGAGGACGACCAGCCACACUGGGACUGAGACACGGCCCAGACUCCUACGGGAGGCAGCAGUGGGGAAUUUUGGACAAUGGGCGAAAGCCUGAUCCAGCCAUGCCGCGUGCAGGAUGAAGGCCUUCGGGUUGUAAACUGCUCUUGUACGGAACGAAAAGCCUCUUUCUAAUAAAGAGAGGUCAUGACGGUACCGUAAGAAUAAGCACCGGCUAACUACGUGCCAGCAGCCGCGGUAAUACGUAGGGUGCGAGCGUUAAUCGGAAUUACUGGGCGUAAAGCGUGCGCAGGCGGUGAUGUAAGACAGAUGUGAAAUCCCCGGGCUCAACCUGGGAACUGCAUUUGUGACUGCAUCGCUGGAGUGCGGCAGAGGGGGAUGGAAUUCCGCGUGUAGCAGUGAA